GUACGAGCGGGCCAUGAAGCUAGAGACUGACUACAAGCAGUACAUAUCAGCCGUCAUACCCGGCGUGAGCAUCAAGCACAUGUGCACUCAGAUCAAGGAUGCCGUCGACAAGGAGCAAGACAAGCUGCUCUGGGUGCCCGUCUCGAGUGGCUGAUGCCAGCACGGAUUUCACACAUAGUUUCCUAGAUUUAGUUUACGCUAAGUGCCCGAGCCUAGUAUUUUGCAAUGCGUAUCAAUAUUAUCAAGUUUGUAUUCGUUUCGUU